rnacentral:lncRNA from 1 species
CUUUGCAGGUUCGGGAAGAGGCUCCUGAGCAAACUGAACACUCCAAUGGCGGUGAACUUGAGCCAGCAGCGGUUAACCCGGCCCGGGGUUCUGGGCCUCAGCCGGCGCCAGCAGCUCCCUCAGGUGGGGCGCAAGCCUCAGCGCGCCGCCCUUCUCCGCUCCUCUCCUCCAACCGGCCCUUACCUAGGGCGACGGCCCCGGGGACCCCCUUCCCAAGGGCGUCGGCCUGGAGCCUGGAGUCUGUAGGAGUGGCGGGAGAUGGGGACGCGAGUCCCUGGACGCCGACAGUCUGUCUCUAAGGCGUUGCUGCGUGGCUUUGGUACACAGAGCCUCGACCGCUUCUCCACCGCUGCAAGCACAGCGGGGAAGUGGAUGGAGAAGCAAAGACAGACAGACAGACAGACAGACAGACAAGCGGCGGCGGGGCUACCCUGAAACCCGAGCGUCUCCAAGCCCCCACCCCCAACCCCCGGGCACGGCGCUGCAGAUGCCAGAUCCCCGACCAGAGGCGGUGGAGAUGGGCAGGGCAAAGAACGCGCGCGCCGCUCGCAGCUCGUCCGCGCGUGGCCUUCCUCUUGCCCCCCUGCACCUUCAAUUUACCUUAUGCAGGGCGCCCCGCGAGCUGCGGGCUGAGGCGCCGAGCCGAAGCCCAGAGGACAGGAGUUUGAGAGCCGCCAUCUUCGGCCCCGGGUGCGGGAGACGGUGGCGCGCGCGGGAGUGCGUGCGAGUGCUGGUUGCCCGGGGCCGCGGCGGCGUCACCGGCUAAGAAGAGAGAAGGCAAGGCGAGCGGUAGGGCGGGCUGGAGGCUCGACCGCGCGUCAGUGACGUCCUCGGGACCUCAGAGCGGUGCCGCCCCUUGCUGCCUGCUGGCUUGUCAAGAAGCGAGACAGGGAGGGGCUCACGGCUAGGAAUGGAAAGGCUGCACAGCUAGGACGAGCCCCGCGGGUUGUGCCGGGGCCGGAGGUGCUGGGCUCCAGCUCAUCUGCGGGCACACCCGCAGCGGCGGGCGCUGCACUCAGGCUGGAGGGGGCGCUAGAGCCUGCCUUCCCCUCGCGCAAGGCUUGGCAUCAACCAGGGUUUCGGGUUGCCAAGGGCCUGGAGGGUCUCUUACUGAACGUGUUACUUUUCCAAAUCGCCCUCUGGAAUGAGUACAGGUACAAAGGGUCACUGAUAAAGAUCUCCUUCCAGAUCUAGACAGCUCACCUUUCCAACAUUUCUCAACCCCAACACCCACAACUCUCUUCAAGUCUGGUUUUGCCCUUAGUUUCCUCUGAAACCCAGCAGCGUGCUGACUGACCCUCAUGAGACAUGACCUGCUUAACCGACAGAGGGACAAGAUUAGAACUGGGCUGUUGUUCCCCAUCAUCCUACUCUGUGUUCCAGAAUUUUCCUGGAACCGGAGUCCCAACAAUUCCAGAAAUUACAGAACAGGUAUAAGCACAGAAGUGUCUGUCUCCUCUCCUCCUCGUCCUUGUCCAUGUUGUAUAAUUCCCCUCACCUUGUAAUGCUCUUCCUGUUGCAGUUUUGUAUGAGAAAAGCCAGUCAAGGGACACAAUGAACACAAAAAUGCUCGGCACUAAAUUUAGCUAAUAUUCGGUGGUGGGUUAACUUCAUCGUUUUGGAGGUUUUCGUUUUGGAGUUUGUUUUUUGCUGUUUUGUUUGAGGAAGGAUCUCUAGCUCUCUUAGGUCCCACUGAAACUCUAUAUAUGGCUCAGGCUGACCUCCAACUUUUUUCUAUUGCGGCAGCCUAUCCCAGAGUAUGUGCAAUUGUGCCUGGCUCAAGCCUUAUCUUUUGACUGGCACCCAACCGGCCUGAACCAUUUCUUCAGGACGUUCUACACUCACCGCCGAGUUUAAAAGACCACUUGGAAGCCCGGGAAAUCCUUUUAUUGGAUUAAAAGCCCAUCGAGUCCUGGAAGAACAGUUUAAAUUUGAAGUGAUGCAAAACCCAUGACAACAGUAAAUGACUCUUUAACUUCCUUAAAAAGUAUGCCGAUACAAUGAAGGAUGAACAGUCCUGUUUAAUUAAAACCUGUCUACUGGCCUGGGGAGAUGGUAAAGACACUUGCCUCCAAGCUUAGUGACCUCAGUUUGAUCCCUGGGACCCACAUGGUAGCAGGGAAGAACCAACUCCAGCCAAGUCCUCCUCCGACCUCACAUGCACUGCAGCGAGUGCAUGCCUGUGUAUGUGCGCCAAAACAAAUGAAUAAGGAAUUUAAAAAUCUGCACAGAAAAGCAACUACCUCAGUACUCCCUUAACUCAAAAAUGUCUCCUGUAAAGAUUACGGUUUUAACAUGGAAAUAAAAUAUCAAGUUAAACUAUCAUCUGAUUGCAUAGGAGAAGUGAACUCAGUAAUCCUGGAUAUUUUGGGGGCGCAUUUUAAUAAGCUGUGAAGAGUUCGAAUGUUUAAACCGAAGUCCCAUGACUAGCCCUAACAUGGCGGCUGUUGUGCUGCAGUUUUGAGAAGGAACAACAAAAGCUGGUACUACAGUUGUUCUUCCACUUUUUUCCUUCCAGGGCCACGUGAAAGGGAAAAAAAAAAAAAAAAGCACUGGCAACUUGUCUCGUAGUCAUCUGACUCACUCUUCUUGGCUGGUCACAUGUAUUUCUCCUAAAUGAAGACGGUGGAUAUUUUAAAUUUAUUAUUCUGCAGAAUUAAGGCUGCUAGGAAAAACAAAACCAAAACAAACAAAAAAGCAAAACCAGCCUCCGUACUGCACAGCCAGAAGGGAGAGGGGCUGCAUUUUUUGAUAAGCCCACGGCUUCAUUUUACAUCAGCUCAACAAUGGGAGAAAAUGAAAAUAUAUGAGUUACACAGUCAAAAAAUGAAAAUGAGAGUCAUGUUACGGUGCUAAGAAAACUUCAGGAGAAAAACACAGCCAUCUAAGUGUGCUCAGCUUCAGCAUAGGACACCUGCUUUGGAUUCUCAGCCUCUCCAAUGUCAGGGAGAGACUGCCAUAAUUGACUUUGUUCCCCCUGAAACUGUGAGCCCAAAAAUGAGUCCUUUCUUCUAUAAACUGGUUUUGAUCAUUGUGUUUUAUCACAGCAACCGUUAAAUACAGAAGUUGGUGCUAGAGUGGGCUGAAGCUGUGUAGCACUUGACUGUGUUGCUUUGAAGAGGAAGGUGGAAGACUGUGGAGAUCUGGCCUGGAGCAGCAUCUGGAUACUUUCGGCAGAACUUAAAAGGCAACCCUAAAGGAAGCCUGAAAGAUAACCACACUGAGAGCAAUGAGGACUGUGGAGACCCAGAGCAGAAGGUUUCAGAGAGGAACACUAUCAGCCAUUGGGCUCCAAGCUCUUGUGAUAUUUGGGCAAAGAAUCUAAUGGCCCUGGGCUUUGAUCCUAAGAACUUACCUAAGGGGAAAUUUUUAAAGUAACAGAAUAAUUUCUAUAGUGGAAUAAAAUUUCAAGACCACAUAACAUUGAGUCUGUGGCAUGGUUUUUAUUGAUAAUGCUUCGGAUCUAUGAUGGAAAAGAGACAGAAAUUAAAAAUGGACAUUUUGGUGAGAUAAGGAGCAUUGGGAAUCUUACUGCCCACAUUGAAAUAGAGGCUAUAAUUGCUCAGGAGUCAAGCACCAUUAAGGAGAGACCUGCUCUACACUGGAAUGUGGUUAACACUCCGCCCAGCUAAGCCUCUACAUUCUGAAAGGAAAAAGACUAAGAGGUGACUAGCCAAACUUAGCAGGUAUCUCAAUAUGAUGUUAUCUUGGAUGCAUGAAGGAGACCACACCGGUUCAUAGACUCCUCUUCCUGGAUCUUAGAUGCAUGAAGGAGACCAUGCCGGUUCAUAGACUCCUCUUCCUGGGCCUCAGGGAGCUGCUGGGGCCAAGAAACAUGUGGAAGAGGGGUCACUACAUGAAGGCUUUGAGAAGGCAAGAGGCUCUAAGAAAGCAUUGCAGGAAACUGUGAAAGUAAAGCUCUUGCAGUAAAGAUCCCAAAUUUUUGGUGAUUCAGCAGCCACGGCUUACCUGCUGUGACAAGUUAUGCUUUGAUUACUGUGCCUAGAGAGAUCCAUGAAACAAAAAGAAAUUCUCCCUUCCCUAGGGACAAGAUACUUCAAAAAUGCUGGAGGCUGUUGUUUAAGGAAGAUAACAAGCCACAUGUUUUCGCACUCAUAAACAAGUUUGUUUGCCCCAACUGCAUUGGCUGUCUCUAUCACCAGUAGGCAGAGGUAAGGAAACAGGAAACAUGUCAAGAUAUAUGCUUGUCCUUCAUUGUAUGUUUGUCCUUCAUUGGAUAUUGAUUGGCCUUGUGGGGUUGCCUUUUUAAGCCUCUGCAAGAUGUGAUUCAUCACCAAUUGCUGGGAACCUGGGAAUGAACCGGGUCAGAGUCCAUCCUCCUGGCCAGCAUCUAAUUAACGAUUGCUUCAUAUUUGACUCAAAGAUUGUGGUAGUGGUCUUAUUCCCAACUGGUGAGAUUAACACUGCCAAAGAGAACUGCAAACAGGGGCAGAACCAGCCCAGGAGAGAUGUGUACGUCGCAGGCAGCAAAGGUGGGGGUGUAGAGGUAUCUAAGCCCCUCGACAUCAGAUGUGAAACUACAGAUUUGGUCUUGGCCCUGUUGAGUUCUGAUCUUACUUUGGCAUAGCAUUCCCAUUUAGAAGGUUUGUGGGUAUUAUAUUCUGGGGUAUUACACAUUGAACACAUGUGAAUUGUGUUUUGAUCUUACAGUGGUUACAAUUAAGAGAGUUCCUUGAGCCUCAGA